GUGGAGGUGUCUACAGAUACUUCGUAUUCUGACCUCUGUUUUGUUUGGGGUGGAGGUCAGAGUGUGGCGGAGGUGUCCACAGAUACUUCGUAUUCUGACCUCGGUUUUGUUUGGGGUGGAGGUCAGAGUGUGGCGGAGGUGUCUACAGAUACUUCGUAUUCUGACCUUGAUUUAAUUCCCUCAUAAUUCCACCACCUUUUACACACAAUGAAACCAUUAAUAUGGUCUAAUGAACCUACCGGUCUCAAGUGGGACAGUGAAAUAGGCUGUAAAUAGCUGAGCCAUUAUUCAGAAUUUGAAUUGUAUGCCCUCAUCAUUUGGAUGAAACGUGGAGAGCCAGGCUACAGGCGUCUGUAGGGCUCAACCUCCUGACUUGAUGUAUGCACUUUAAAAUGUUUGAAUUAUAUUCCUGGGCUUUUCGCCGGUUUAUUUGACUAUUUGUAUCAUGUUAAAUAUUAGGCACUAUAUCAGGAGCCACCAUCAGUAAUACCCACAUACAUUUAUAAGUGUUAGUUUUCUUCAAUUUGUACCUUACAUUUAGCAUCAUUCCAUUCUGUUGACCCUCCCUUCCACUGUCAUGUCAGUGUCGUUGUUCCUGAAGGUCGCUAGCAUUACUGGAUCAUAUAGACUAACGUUGUGCAAUAAUGUAGGACAUGUAGCCUAUUAGAUCAUUAUGGAACUCAGACCACACGUAGCAGGUUAAACCUGGAGCCUGACUCACGGUUCACCACGACUGGACCGUUGUGAGAAUCAGGGUAGACUCACGGUUCACCACGACCGGACCGUUGUGAGAAUCAGGGUAGACUCACGGUUCACCACGACUGGACCGUUGUGAGAAUCAGGGUAGACUCACGGUUCACCACGACCGGACCGUUGUGAGAAUCAGGGUAGACUCACGGUUCACCACGACUGGACCGUUGUGAGAAUCAGGGUAGACUCACGGUUCACCACGACUGGACCGUUGUGAGAAUCAGGGUAGACUCACGGUUCACCACGACUGGACCGUUGUGAGAAUCAGGGAAGUUCAACCCCUAUUCUACACUUUUUCCACCUUCCAAUAUUUCAUAUAUUGAAUCAAACCACUGUAUUUUUUUAUUCAUAAAUAUAUUUUGAGUAAAGGCUCUCCAAACCGGUUGGUUUAUGAUUCAUACAUACUUUCUUAAGACUAAAUGGCAUAUAUUAUUAUAUUAUUAUUAUUAUUAUUAUAUUAUUAUUAU